GACGGAGGGUGCUAGCGUUGUUCGGAAUGACUGGGCGUAAAGGGCGCGUAGGCGGCCGCUUGCGUCGGAUGUGAAAGCCCGGGGCUCAACCCCGGAACGGCAUCCGAUACGGGGCGGCUCGAGACCGAGAGAGGUGAGUGGAAUACCCAGUGCAGAGGUGAAAUUCGUAGAUAUUGGGUGGAACACCGGUGGCGAAAGCGGCUCACUGGCUCGGUUCUGACGCUGAGGCGCGAAAGCGUGGGGAGCAAACAGG
rnacentral:rRNA from 1 species